AGCAUCUAAGCACGAAACUUGCCCCGAGAUGAGUUCUCCCUGACCCUUUAAGGGUCCUGAAGGAACGUUGAAGACGACGACGUUGAUAGGCCGGGUGUGUAAGCGCAGCGAUGCGUUGAGCUAACCGGUACUAAUGAACCGUGAGGCUUAACCUUACAACGCCGAAGGUGUUU
rnacentral:rRNA from 1 species